GGUUAAGCGACUAAGCGUACACGGUGGAUGCCCUGGCAGUCAGAGGCGAUGAAGGACGUGCUAAUCUGCGAUAAGCGUCGGUAAGGUGAUAUGAACCGUUAUAACCGGCGAUUUCCGAAUGGGGAAACCCAGUGUGAUUCGUCACACUAUCAUUAACUGAAUCCAUAGGUUAAUGAGGCGAACCGGGGGAACUGAAACAUCUAAGUACCCCGAGGAAAAGAAAUCAACCGAGAUUCCCCCAGUAGCGGCGAGCGAACGGGGAGGAGCCCAGAGCCUGAAUCAGUGUGUGUGUUAGUGGAAGCGUCUGGAAAGGCGCGCGAUACAGGGUGACAGCCCCGUACACAAAAAUGCACAUGCUGUGAGCUCGAUGAGUAGGGCGGGACACGUGGUAUCCUGUCUGAAUAUGGGGGACCAUCCUCCAAGGCUAAAUACUCCUGACUGACCGAUAGUGAACCAGUACCGUGAGGGAAAGGCGAAAAGAACCCCGGCGAGGGGAGUGAAAAAGAACCUGAAACCGUGUACGUACAAGCAGUGGGAGCACAGAGCAAUCUGUGUGACUGCGUACCUUUUGUAUAAUGGGUCAGCGACUUAUAUUCUGUAGCAAGGUUAACCGAAUAGGGGGAGCCGAAGGGGAAACCGAGUCUUAACUGGGCGUUAAGUUGCAGGGUAUAGACCCGAAACCCGGUGAUCUAGCCAUGGGCAGGUUGAAGGUUGGGUAACACUAACUGGAGGACCGAACCGACUAAUGUUGAAAAAUUAGCGGAUGACUUGUGGCUGGGGGUGAAAGGCCAAUCAAACCGGGAGAUAGCUGGUUCUCCCCGAAAGCUAUUUAGGUAGCGCCUCGUGAAUUCAUCUCCGGGGGUAGAGCACUGUUUCGGCAAGGGGGUCAUCCCGACUUACCAACCCGAUGCAAACUGCGAAUACCGGAGAAUGUUAUCACGGGAGACACACGGCGGGUGCUAACGUCCGUCGUGAAGAGGGAAACAACCCAGACCGCCAGCUAAGGUCCCAAAGUCAUGGUUAAGUGGGAAACGAUGUGGGAAGGCCCAGACAGCCAGGAUGUUGGCUUAGAAGCAGCCAUCAUUUAAAGAAAGCGUAAUAGCUCACUGGUCGAGUCGGCCUGCGCGGAAGAUGUAACGGGGCUAAACCAUGCACCGAAGCUGCGGCAGCGACACUGUGUGUUGUUGGGUAGGGGAGCGUUCUGUAAGCCUGUGAAGGUGUGCUGUGAGGCAUGCUGGAGGUAUCAGAAGUGCGAAUGCUGACAUAAGUAACGAUAAAGCGGGUGAAAAGCCCGCUCGCCGGAAGACCAAGGGUUCCUGUCCAACGUUAAUCGGGGCAGGGUGAGUCGACCCUAAGGCGAGGCCGAAAGGCGUAGUCGAUGGGAAACAGGUUAAUAUUCCUGUACUUGGUGUUACUGCGAAGGGGGGACGGAGAAGGCUAUGUUGGCCGGGCGACGGUUGUCCCGGUUUAAGCGUGUAGGCUGGUUUUCCAGGCAAAUCCGGAAAAUCAAGGCUGAGGCGUGAUGACGAGGCACUACGGUGCUGAAGCAACAAAUGCCCUGCUUCCAGGAAAAGCCUCUAAGCAUCAGGUAACAUCAAAUCGUACCCCAAACCGACACAGGUGGUCAGGUAGAGAAUACCAAGGCGCUUGAGAGAACUCGGGUGAAGGAACUAGGCAAAAUGGUGCCGUAACUUCGGGAGAAGGCACGCUGAUAUGUAGGUGAAGUCCCUCGCGGAUGGAGCUGAAAUCAGUCGAAGAUACCAGCUGGCUGCAACUGUUUAUUAAAAACACAGCACUGUGCAAACACGAAAGUGGACGUAUACGGUGUGACGCCUGCCCGGUGCCGGAAGGUUAAUUGAUGGGGUCAGCGCAAGCGAAGCUCUUGAUCGAAGCCCCGGUAAACGGCGGCCGUAACUAUAACGGUCCUAAGGUAGCGAAAUUCCUUGUCGGGUAAGUUCCGACCUGCACGAAUGGCGUAAUGAUGGCCGGGGCUGUCUCCACCCGAGACUCAGUGAAAUUGAACUCGCUGUGAAGAUGCAGUGUACCCGCGGCAAGACGGAAAGACCCCGUGAACCUUUACUAUAGCUUGACACUGAACAUUGAGCCUUGAUGUGUAGGAUAGGUGGGAGGCUUUGAAGUGUGGACGCCAGUCUGCAUGGAGCCGACCUUGAAAUACCACCCUUUAAUGUUUGAUGUUCUAACGUGGACCCGUGAUCCGGGUUGCGGACAGUGUCUGGUGGGUAGUUUGACUGGGGCGGUCUCCUCCUAAAGAGUAACGGAGGAGCACGAAGGUUGGCUAAUCCCCGGUCGGACAUCAGGAGGUUAGUGCAAUGGCAUAAGCCAGCUUGACUGCGAGCGUGACGGCGCGAGCAGGUGCGAAAGCAGGUCAUAGUGAUCCGGUGGUUCUGAAUGGAAGGGCCAUCGCUCAACGGAUAAAAGGUACUCCGGGGAUAACAGGCUGAUACCGCCCAAGAGUUCAUAUCGACGGCGGUGUUUGGCACCUCGAUGUCGGCUCAUCACAUCCUGGGGCUGAAGUAGGUCCCAAGGGUAUGGCUGUUCGCCAUUUAAAGUGGUACGCGAGCUGGGUUUAGAACGUCGUGAGACAGUUCGGUCCCUAUCUGCCGUGGGCGCUGGAGAACUGAGGGGGCUGCUCCUAGUACGAGAGGACCGGAGUGGACGCAUCACUGGUGUUCGGGUUGUCAUGCCAAUGGCACUGCCCGGUAGCUAAAUGCGGAAGAGAUAAGUGCUGAAAGCAUCUAAGCACGAAACUUGCCCCGAGAUGAGUUCUCCCUGACCCUUUAAGGGUCCUGAAGGAACGUUGAAGACGACGACGUUGAUAGGCCGGGUGUGUAAGCGCAGCGAUGCGUUGAGCUAACCGGUACUAAUGAACCGUGAGGCUUAACCUU
rnacentral:rRNA from 1 species